GCUCUGACAGUGUUGCACUACUGUGAUCUCAAAUGAAGCAGUGCAAUAGUAUUGUCAAAGCAU
rnacentral:pre_miRNA from 2 species